AGAUUCAUCUUCAAUCCAAACACACAUCUUCUUCCUAAUCCUUCAAGACAAGAGUUGCAAUGCAUUUGCGCCAACAAAACAAACCAUCUUUCUGUCUCUGUCCACUAUACAAACACAUGCUCUGUUCGACACAAAACUCAUACAAAAAUCCUACAAAAUUCACUGCUCGUUUUCUUCAAGAAACAAUGGAAUUACAAGUCCCACAGGGAACUAAGUGGAUCUGGCAGGUGUUUGCAUGUUUCAAGCUGCGUCAUGAAUAAAAGAUGUCAUCCAAAGCCAUUAGGGUUUAGGAGGUGUAUCUUACUCCUGGACGAGAUACAUGGUUCUAAACUCGGUUUUAUUUAAGGUCUUUUGUCGAGUCUUAGUGAACUCUUUCAAACAUGUUGUGGUUUGUAAUUUAGAAUUUGGUGUCGACGUUUCAGACAAUUAUGUUGUGUUAUUUUCAAACUUAAAUUAUGGAUGAACAUCUUAUGGUUUUA